CCUACGGGGGGCAGCAGUGGGGAAUAUUGGACAAUGGGCGAAAGCCUGAUCCAGCCAUGCCGCGUGUGUGAAGAAGGCCUUCGGGUUGUAAAGCACUUUCAGUGGGGAAGAAAGCCUUGGGGCUAAUACCCUCGAGGAAGGACAUCACCCACAGAAGAAGCACCGGCUAACUCCGUGCCAGCAGCCGCGGUAAUACGGAGGGUGCGAGCGUUAAUCGGAAUUACUGGGCGUAAAGCGCGCGUAGGCGGUCUGAUAAGCCGGUUGUGAAAGCCCCGGGCGCAACCUGGGAACGGCAUCCGGAACUGUCAGGCUAGAGUGCAGGAGAGGAAGGUAGAAUUCCCGGUGUAGCGGUGAAAUGCGUAGAGAUCGGGAGGAAUACCAGUGGCGAAGGCGGCCUUCUGGACUGACACUGACGCUGAGGUGCGAAAGCGUGGGUAGCAAACAGGAUUAGAUACCCUGGUAGU
rnacentral:rRNA from 1 species